rnacentral:lncRNA from 1 species
GUAAGAGACGAGAAGCCCAACAAGAUUUCAAUUCUUAGAGGUUGUAUGGGAAGAACAAGUGCCUUCUCCAUGUCUGUGGCAGUGUGAAGGACGAGAACGAACACAAAGAUCCUGAGGGACUGUGCUUUCCCUGGAGCUGGCUGUCAGUGUGAGGUGCCAAAACAGGAAGAGUAAUGAAAGUGUACUCAUCCUAUCUCACAUGUCAGGCAGAGGAAUGUGCAGCAGAAGGAGAUGAUGGGCAAGAGUGUUCUGGGGAAGGAUACGGAUAUCUGCUUCUGCUCUGCCACAUCCAUUUGAUCUGCAGUUGUCUUUGUCCCUUUAUUGUGGAAGACCUUCUUUCCAGCAAAUGUUAUCCAGUGGUGACUGCUCCAUGGCACACCUGA